rnacentral:snRNA from 1 species
AUACUUACCUGGCAGGGGUGAUUCCAUGAUCACGAAGGUGGUUUCCCCAGGGCGAGGCUUAUCCAUUGCACUCCGGAUGGGCUGACCCCUGCGAUUUCCCCAAAU